UACAGAGGUCCCAAGCGUUGUUCGGAUUUAUUGGGCGUAAAGGGUGCGUAGGCGGCGGAGUAAGUUGGGUGUGAAAUCCCGGGGCUCAACCUCGGAAUUGCAUUCAAUACUGCUUCGCUCGAGUACUGGAGAGGAGACUGGAAUUUACGGUGUAGCAGUGAAAUGCGUAGAUAUCAAGUGGAACACCAGUGGCGAAGGCGAGUCCCUGGACAACUCCUGACACUGAGGCACGAAAGCUAGGGGAGCAAACAGG
rnacentral:rRNA from 1 species